rnacentral:rRNA from 1 species
UACGUAGGGGGCUAGCGUUGUCCGGAAUCAUUGGGCGUAAAGCGCGCGUAGGCGGUCAGGUAAGUCCGGUGUGAAAGUCAAAGGCUCAACCUUUGAAUGCCGCUGGAUACUGCUUGACUUGAGUCCGGAAGGGGCGAGUGGAAUUCCUGGUGUAGCGGUGAAAUGACGCAGAUAUCAGGAGGAACACCAAUGGCGAAGGCGGGUCUCUGGGCCGAUAUUGACGCUGGAGGAGCGAAAGCGUGGGGAGCGAACAGG